GUAAGCUCGGUGACCAUCGCUUGGCCUCACGUCUGCAGGAGGAGGUGGAAAACAGGGUCUAGGCUAAGGUCACUCGUCUCCCGUCUAAGUGUUGUAUGAGCAGCAUGUGGAUCGGCUUAUAAGUCCACAUGGGAAAUACCGAGGAUGGGUGUCCGUCUGCGUGACCAAGCCUCACCGUGUUCCCAUCCUUGAUUCCGUGAAAUAACAAACACGGAAAGGAAACAGCCGGGGACAGCAGGUGCAAACAGUGAGGGGGAGACCCCAACAGCAUCCCCUGCCCUGGAGCCCCCGUGGGGGACAGCAGUUCCCGUGGCCUGGAAAACGCUUCAACAGAGGGCUUUGUAACAAUUGAGCUGGAAAAGGAAAACUAUGAUGUCAGAAGGAAAACGGUGCAGAGGCUGAACUGCCUCCUCCAGUGGACCCUGUCCGGCAGGGUGCUCAGGCACGAUGGCUGGCUUCUCCCCGGGGUCACUGAGCACAUCUUCUUGGCAGCGGCCAUGCCGGGCCUUGGGUCUCCUGUUUGCUUGUUUUGUUUGGAGCAAGAAGCAGGGACUUCAAGAGAGCUUAGUAAGUGUGGAUGUUCA